AAGGCGACGAACUGAGCCAGCGUGUUCUUUUUCUCGCAAUUCUCGGGACUAGUAAGGUGUUUGCUGUCACUGAACAAUACGAGCCCUGUAUAUAGAGGAACCACAUGGGAACAGAAGUGAAGUUUUGUUUGAGAUCAAAAGCCCUGAAGCAGGACACAGUGGAUUUUGCUGAGUUUCUUUGGUGAGGUUAAAUAGCAGAGUCCUUAACAUGAGGAAAUGUUUGUGUGGAGCUGGGAGGGCAUUUUAGCUCCAAUAACUGUGGCCCCUUCCCCAAGGCUCAGUGGCAGAGCAUGUAGUCUGCCUGCAGAGGAUCCCAGGUUCAAGUCCCCGCAUCUUCAGGUAAGGCAGGUGGAGAAUCCUGCCUGAAAACCUGGACAGCCACUGGUAGUCAGCCUCAGCAAUACUGAGCUAGAUGGGCCAAAAGUCUGAGUCUCAGCGUAAGGCAGUUUCCUAUGUAAUUCGAUGGAUGCCCCCCAUUAUUGAUCUGCCAUAGUCUUGGCUUGCACAAGCACAAAACCAAGAAAUAUCUGCAGAUCCAAUAACUCAGCCAUGUGAUCUUAUCCACAGACUGCGCAUCCAGUCAUAAAAUGUAACGUGCAUAUAUGUAAGAUUCAGUAUUUGUGAAAUGGAUAAGAUUUUGUAGCUGUCUUUUAAGAUAGCAGUUUCUCACUGAGAUGAGGGUGACAAGAGCAUGGAAAAUGCGUAUCUGACCUGAAAGCUGUGGUGUAGUGGUUAGAGUAGGCAUGGGGGACGUGUUGGACUCCCAACUCACAUCAGAUGGUCUGGGAUGAUGGCAGUUGUAGUGCAGCAAUAUCUGGAGGGCCACAGAUAUUUCCCAUACCUAGAUAGAGUGUUGGAAUAGGAUCUGGGAGACUAAAGUUUGAACCCCUACACAGCCAUGAAGCUCACUGGGCAGGCAUCGGCCAGCCAUCAUCUCUCAGCUUAGCCUACCUCACAGGGUUGUUGUGACGAUAAAGUGAGACGAGGGAUGAGUCAUAUAUGCCAUGCCUUGAGCUCCUUGGAGGAAAGGUGUGAUGCAAAUGUGAUGUAGCAACUCCUGUUUCAGAUGAAAAAAAAAUAAAGUAAAAUUUGUU